rnacentral:rRNA from 1 species
UGGGGAAUAUUGCACAAUGGGCGCAAGCCUGAUGCAGCCAUGCCGCGUGUAUGAAGAAGGCCUUCGGGUUGUAAAGUACUUUCAGCGGGGAGGAAGGUGUUGUGGUUAAUAACCUCAGCAAUUGACGUUACCCGCAGAAGAAGCACCGGCUAACUCCGUGCCAGCAGCCGCGGUAAUACGGAGGGGGAAAGCGUUAAUCGGAAUUACUGGGCGUAAAGCGCACGCAGGCGGUCUGUCAAGUCGGAUGUGAAAUCCCCGGGCUCAACCUGGGAACUGCAUCCGAAACUGGCAGGCUUGAGUCUUGUAGAGGGGGGUAGAAUUCCAGGUGUAGCGGUGAAAUGCGUAGAGAUCUGGAGGAAUACCGGUGGCGAAGGCGGCCCCCUGGACAAAGACUGACGCUCAGGUGCGAAAGCGUGGGGAGCAAACA